UGAGAUCUUCGGAUGGAUUUAAAACAGCUUAGUGGCGGACGGGUGAGUAACGCGUGGGUAACCUGCCUCACACUGGGGGAUAACAGUUAGAAAUAGCUGCUAAUACCGCAUAAGCGCACGGUUCCGCAUGGAACAGUGUGAAAAACUCCGGUGGUACGAGAUGGACCCGCGUCUGAUUAGCUGGUUGGUGAGGUAACGGCUCACCAAGGCGACGAUCGGUAGCCGACCUGAGAGGGUGAUCGGCCACAUUGGAACUGAGACACGGUCCAAACUCC
rnacentral:rRNA from 1 species